rnacentral:lncRNA from 1 species
AGGAAGGAAGGAAGGAAAGAAGGAAGGAAGGAAGGAAAGGAAGGAAGGAGAAGAAAGGAAGGAGAAGAAAGGGUGACAGAGAUGAAUGAAUCAAUGUUUAAUAAUCAGCCUGUCCAUCUCUGUUGACCACAGCACUGUUCAGAAAAUCCUAGAAGUGGAACCAACCUAGGUGCCCAUCAGCCAACAGACGGAUAAAGAAAGGUGAUACAUAAACACAGUAGAAUUUCAUCCAUCUAUAAGAAAAUCCAAAUCAUAACAAUGACAGGAAAAACUGAUGGAAGCAAAGAUCAUUGUGUUAAGUGAAACAGGCCAGACUUUAAAACACAGCAUGCCCUUAAUCCCAGCAUUCAUGUGAUAGAGGCAGGGGGAUUUUCAUUAGUUCGAGGCUACAGAGUCUGGCCUACAGAGUAAGUUCCAAGACAGCCAGAGCUAUGCAGAGAGACAUCUCCAAAAGCCAAAAACCAACCAAACAACCAACCAAAAGACCAUGGCAUGCUUUAUCUUAUACUUGGAGACUAAAUUUAAGAUCAUAUGUAUGUAGCUAUCAAUGUGUGUUUGUUCAUGUACGUUUGUAAGACACAAGGUUGAAGUGGGAUUGUGACGAAGAGAUUAUGAUUCAGAGCAGGCAGCCAUGAGUAGGGGCGUGAUGUUCCAGUUAAAGGAAACGGUACAAGCCAGUACUUGGAUGCGAGAUGUGGAUGACGCUGUCAGGGAACAGCAAGCUUUUAGGGAACUCAAGAGCAAGAGUGACCCCCACCCCAAGAAACAAGUGUCCACAGGAAGGCUUCUUCCUAGAAGCAGGAAUGAAGACAGAGAAGCCCAGGGCAUCACUGACGUGAGCACAGUCGCUCUCCAAGUCACACGGGUCGUCUGCCCCACACACACACCAUUCUCCCACCCAAAAGAAAAUUCCCACAGCAUCUUAUUGCACCAGGCUUGGCUGGCUCACAGCACCUAGCUUGUCAGAAUUUCCCCAACCCGCUCCCACCUCUUAAG